rnacentral:rRNA from 1 species
UACGUAGGGUGCGAGCGUUAAUCGGAAUUACUGGGCGUAAAGCGUGCGCAGGCGGUGAUGUAAGACAGGUGUGAAAUCCCCGGGCUUAACCUGGGAACUGCAUUUGUGACUGCAUCGCUGGAGUGCGGCAGAGGGGGAUGGAAUUCCGCGUGUAGCAGUGAAAUGCGUAGAUAUGCGGAGGAACACCGAUGGCGAAGGCAAUCCCCUGGACCUGUACUGACGCUCAUGCACGAAAGCGUGGGGAGCAAGCAGG